UUGAAAUCUUAAGAUAAACUGCAUUCUUGUAUGUGUUAAAACCUGUAAGAUGGCUUUUUCUCUAAAGGAUAUACCGGGAAAAAAACCUUGGAGAGUUUAUACUUGAAUGCAUGAGAUGUCACGAUCCAAAUAGACUAGCACUUGUCGACGAAGAAAAAAGCUACACAUAUCGAUCACUAAUUGAUCGGAUAAAAUGCACCGCAUCAUUUCUACAGAACUACGGUAUUAAGAAGAAUGACGUCAUAUGUGUUAUGUCACCAAACAAUGCAGAUUUUGUGGUGUCGUUUUAUGCGUCUGCUUUGAUUAACGCAAUUAUUUUGCCAGUAAAUCCAGAGAUCAAUAAUUGUGAUGUGGAGAAAAUUAUCUCGGAGACAGAUACUAAGAUUGUGUUUACAGUCCUAUAACUGAUGCCCAAAGUGAGAGGUAUUCUUAAAGACAAUUGCAGGAUAAAGGUUAUAUGUUUUGGAGUUGAAUUCGGUUCUCUGAUAAAAACAAGCGAUGGUAAUUACGUUAAACAUCAAGGAGAUCCAAAAAUGGAUACCGUCGCACUAAUGCCGUCAUCAGGGACAACUGGACCGCCAAAGUUGAUAAUGCUGUCACAUUAUGGAAUUAUAGCCAAUACACUGCAACAAAGAUCUGCUGGUUUACAUACUGACCCUGGCUUAGAGUGUUUCAUUGUGUUUCUGCCACUAUUUCACGGUUAUGGUCUACUUUUUGUAACGCUGUUUGGUCACUACAUGGGAGCUAAGAUUGUUGUCAUGAGAAAAUUCCAACCAGAUGAUUAUCUGAGACUCAUAGAGACACAUAAGGUAAGUUGUCUACAUUUGAUUCUGAGACUCAUAGGGACACAUAAGGUAAGUUGUCUACAUUUGAUUCUGAGACUCAUAGAGACACAUAAGGUAAGUUGUAU
rnacentral:lncRNA from 1 species